UCCCUCCUCACACUCCCCAUCACCGCUCUCUCUCCGCACAGUGGUGAGACAGAUGAGUGUACAGACUCACUGCUUUCAGUGGCGCUUGUUUCAGGAAACUCAGCUCCAGUCACUGUGGCCAGAUCCAGAUUCUUUACCCGACCGACGGUCUUUGAUGUGUCAGUCUUCAAGUAUUGUAAAAAUCAGUGUGUGUGUGUGUGUGUGUGGGUUGGUUCAAGGUGCAGAGCCGUGGGUCAAAUCCUCGUCUUUGAAGAUUGUUUGUGUCCGAGCCAAGGGCGCGACAUAAAAGUAAGGGCCGUAUUGAGUUGAACGAACAGGGACUUACAGUUUUGUUAGGUGUGCUUACAAACUCGUCCUCGUCAUUUUGUGCUUUCGAGCUCUGCCACAGUCGUCUUCGCCUCUCCAGCUGUUCUUGCUCUCACUGUGGCAUUUUGCAAACAAUGUACAGACAGUCUGUGUCUGAUGUGGAGGGAAACGAAACAAAGAACAUUUCUUGAUAGAUAGUGCACACGUUACAUACUGUGUGUCAGUGUUUGUGUGGACAAUUACAUGCAACUAUAACAUGUUUACUCAUGGCACAAAAUGUACUUGUGUUACUAUGUCGUGAUUCUUCCACAAAAUGAUCCAGAUUUAAUCCGUGUUUGUAAUUCAAACACAAUCUGAUUCCUCUCCCUAUCUGUGCGGGGAUUUAACCGUGGUAAGUUAUAAUGAUAUGAAUCACAUGCACUUCUAGUCUCUGCCAAGUGCAAAAACACACUGUGUGCAGCUCGAAUCGAUACCAGUGAGCAUAGAAACCAAACAAGGACAAACAGCAACCUUACGAGACACAUCUUCAUGCAUUAAUUCAGCACAAACCUCCCCGCUAUCUUUUUACACACACACACACACACACACACACACUGCCGCCGAAUGUUGCCAGCGUCUGCCGUGUGGAUGCUGUGCUUUGUUCUGAGCGCUCUGACAGUGAGUGGCGGUCUCAGGAGGCAAACACUGAAGUUGAAAGCUCAACAAGCUCUCUGAAGUGGCUGGCUUUCAUGCUGCACAUUGUGUCGGAGUUGGAGGUUGGGGGGGGGGGUCUACGCGAGUCCAGCAGACAAACUUAUUUCAAGUGUACAGCGUACGGUGUGAAUCAGGCGACACACAAACUCCACACAAGUCACGUCGGUAUGUGACCUUAUUAAAAAAAGGGGUUAUUUUGUUAUUUCUAAAGUCGCACUAAAGUAAUUGCCGGCAGCAGCAGGUUGUAGCUAAUGUAGCAUGUCAGAGUUGCGACUUAUUAAAGUGUGAAUUCAUGCCUCGGGCUGCCUCGCUCUCUGCUGAGGCUGGGAUUCGUGUCAGGACAUGAAUCGAGCUACAGGACUGCACACUGCACUGAGCUGGGAGAUUUAAUUACUCUGUGUGUGUGUGUGUGUGUGUGUACUUGCACUUGUAUUUGUUACCUUUUCUGGCAUAAACACUGACCCUGCCAGGACCAGUCGUCCUCAUAGACCCUGCUCCUAAUGAGGCAGAACCAUGAGGAACUGGUUUAGUCUAGGGCUAAGACGUGAACUGUGGUAAGGUUAAGUUCAGGGUUAGACCGGUUAAGGAUAACACUUUGUUUAAGCUCAUCAAGUGAAUGGAAGUCUAUGCAGUGGUCUAUGAAGAAUAGCUGUUCAAACCUGUGUGUGAACUUGCAUUUACAUCUCUGUGACACAGAGUGAAGGAGACUUUGCACUGGCCAGGACUUGGUUGGAGGUUUAGGGGUAUACGCGUAAGGUUAAGUGUAAAAUUAGGGGCAAUAAGGGAACACAUUAUGUCAAAAAAUGUCCUCACAAGUAUGAGUUUGUGUGUGUUUGUGCUCCGUCUGUGUAUGCUGAGUCAUUUGUGGUUACCACCUCUGCCAUUUAACAGCCCCUCUGUAAUAACCCUCAGCAUUAGGUGCUUAUUAUGGUAAUUGAACUCCGUCGGUGACAGGCUGUUAUAAGCCGAGCGUAUUUAUCUGAUGAAAUGUCACAGCAGAGGGAUCAGAACGAGAAGUACAUUACGUUGCCUAAAUAAUACCACGCUCUGAAGUUAUGUGCGGCUUAUUUUUUUUUUUUUGUCGGUUUCAUUUUAAAUCCAACAAACUGUUAAUCUGCUGUUAGGUAAGGAUUUAGGGUUAUAUUUCCUGCGCACUGUGAUGUCAAUAUGUCUCUUUGCUUCACUUUGGUUUAACAGAUGAGAUUAAAUAGGAAAAAAAAACUUGACUGAAGUUAAAUUUCCUAGGUUUGGAGCGUGAACUUUGUAACGUUGCCUUAACGUUGUCUGGUGGAACUGAUGUCGGACUCUACGCAGUUGUAAAAUGCGUGGGAACUGGGAAGGAAAGACAGGAAGUGCAGCUUUUAUACGCAGCUCAUUAGGAUCUUAAAAAGCCUCCUCUGAGAUUCGCCUGAACGACAGAGUCAUCUCCUGUUACUAUUCCGAUGGCUUUAGGCACUGGAGAGAUGCCAGGAGGAAGACGGGCAGACGAGACAGAGCAAGAGUUGUGUUUUGUAUAUGAGGCAGCGGCGGCCUGGGGGCUAUAAAAACAACGUCGAGACCACAGGCUCUAGUGUCACUCCCCUCACUCCUCAACUUCAGCGAUCAACACAGCAGAGGCUACAGCCACUUGGGCAGCAGAUCUGUCAACACAACACUCAUGACGGUUUGACAUGCGGAGGAUUUCCUCCAGCACAUCACCAGGUUGUCGUUCCCUGUCACCUAGCAACAGUCACCUGAUUGGGUGGUGUGGAGUGGAGACCUCAGGGCCAGCCAGGAGAUAUUAGGUGACUGGGGCCUGGAGCCUGGAGCCUGGAGCCUGGAGUCUUCAGCACAGCUGUUCACACAAAAACCUCCACACACGGCACAGUCAGCCAAUAAGGGCACACAUGAGCAAUGAAGUUGAGUCAGCCUUAAGGCCCUGGUAUACUUCUGCACACAUGCCGUGUGUGUCACAUUGUCCCUGGUAUACCCCUGUCAGUGUCCCGUAGUAUCUCACUUCACCAUCGGGUGGCGGUGGAAGUCUGGACGCAGGGAAUAGGACGCAUUCCUACUAAAAGAAGAAGAGAGCGAUGCUACAGCUCCCUCGGACACGUCUGGUUCGAGCAGCUCGCAGCCGAAAGGCCCCAAGUCGAAGCUCGGCUGACUCCUUGGCGACGACUUCCUCUGUUGUCAAAAUGUUUUUUCUGCCUGGUGAGAGGGGUUUAAUACUCCACCUACUGGUGUGGCAGAAAUUCAGCACGGUUCCAAAACCUGGGCCUGAACGUUUGUCUGCAGUUUUAACUUUCUUUCUGGUUUGCGAAGGCCACCGAUGUCACUAAAUAUUGCACACUGGACCUUUAAAGAAAGUGCUCCAGUGCUUCUCCACCACUGGCCAGAAGAUCAUCGAGUGCACGCACUCUCCCCUCCUCGAGAGGUCUGCACAGUUCCUGCUGCCUCAAAAGAGCCAAGGACACAGGACCCCAGACACUUCACUUUCGACUGAUGGAUGAAACGUAAUCGUCAGACAGUGAAGUCUGAAAUGUGUCUUGCAACACAGCCGUUCCAUCCGUGAACGAUGACAAAGACACAGACGGGACGAUUACGGCAGAUGACAGAAAAGCAAACAUCACAGCCGCGUGAAGACAAAGUACAGUUUACAGUACACUUGAUCUGGGAUUUAGCUCCGUGUUUAAUUUUAGGAUUGACUGACACACAC